CUUUUUCUGGUGUGUUUUUGAAGUGGCUUUUUGUUAUUCUGCCUCGGCUCACUCACCUUUCUCAGCAGCUGUGGAAAACACUCGGCCCCGCUCUGCUCUCCACUGAGCACUUGGAUUCCGUGUAAACAGCUCGCCUACUGGCCUGCUCAGGAGGGCCUGGGCCUGUGGAGCCUUUGAGAACAGUCAUGGGGCAGAAAACCCCCCCAUGCUCAAGGAGGAGGAUGGGGGAGACCUGACAGAGCAGAAGGAACUUUCUAGGCACACAGAGGAGCACAGGGCUACGACCAGGGAGCCUGGCCUGCAGGAAGCUUUGGGGACACGGUUCGAGCCCUGGUCCGAGAAGAUCUCACAUGCCGCGGAGCAACUAAGUCCAUGUGCCACGACUACUGAGCCCGCGAGGCACAACUACUGAAGCCCACGCACCUAGAGCCCGUGCUCCACAGCAAGAGAAGCCACCGCAAUGAGAAGCCCGCAAACCGCCACGAAGAGUAGCCCCCGCUCGCCGCAGCUAGAGAAGGCCUGCGAGCAGCAACGAAGACCCGACGCAACCAAAAGUAAAUAAAUAAAUAAAACUAUUUUUUUAAAAAAAGAAUGUAUAUAUAUGUAUAACUGAAUCACUUUGCUGUACAGCAGAAAUUAACACAACAUUGUAAAUCAACUAUACUUCGAUUAAAAGAAAAAAAAAGAGUUUUAUUAAGGCCAGCCUCCAACAUUUACAGCGG